rnacentral:rRNA from 1 species
UAUUGCACAAUGGGCGCAAGCCUGAUGCAGCCAUGCCGCGUGUGUGAAGAAGGCCUUCGGGUUGUAAAGCACUUUCAGCGGGGAGGAAGGCGGUGAGGUUAAUAACCUCAUCGAUUGACGUUACCCGCAGAAGAAGCAUCGGCUAACUCCGUGCCAGCAGCCGCGGUAAUACGGAGGGUGCAAGCGUUAAUCGGAAUUACUGGGCGUAAAGCGCACGCAGGCGGUCUGUCAAGUCGGAUGUGAAAUCCCCGGGCUUAACCUGGGAACUGCAUUCGAAACUGGCAGGCUAGAGUCUUGUAGAGGGGGGUAGAAUUCCAGGUGUAGCGGUGAAAUGCGUAGAGAUCUGGAGGAAUACCGGUGGCGAAGGCGGCCCCCUGGACAAAGACUGACGCUC